rnacentral:rRNA from 1 species
AACCUGGUUGAUCCUGCCAGUGACCACCGCUAUUGGGAUUCGAUUAAGCCAUGCGAGUCGAGAGGGUUCGGCCCUCGGCGUACGGCUCAGUAACACGUGGAUAAUCUGCCCUUAGGUGGAGGAUAAUCUCGGGAAACUGAGAAUAAUACUCCAUAGAUCUAGACUGCUGGAAUGCUUUUAGAUCAAAAGAUUUAUCGCCUAAGGAUGAGUCUGCGGACUAUCAGGUUGUAGUCAGGGUAAUGACCUGACUAGCCUACGACGGAUACGGGUAGUGAGAGCUAUAGCCCGGAGAUGAUAUCUGAGACACGAUAUCAGGCCCUACGGGGCGCAGCAGGCGCGAAAACUUCGCACUGUGCGAAAGCACGACGAGGGAAUCCCAAGUGUUAGCUCGUAAGAGUUAUCUGUUUCUCUGUCUAAAAAACAGAGAGAGUAAGGGCUGGGUAAGACGGGUGCCAGCCCGCGCGGUAAUACCUGCAGCCCAAGUGGUGGCCGUUAUUAUUGGGCCUAAAACGUCCGUAGCCGGUUUCGUAAAUGCCUA